rnacentral:rRNA from 1 species
GAGUUUGAUCAUGGCUCAGGACGAACGCUGGCGGCGUGCUUUAUACAUGCAAGUCAAGGAGAAAGCUUUCUUCGGAAAGCGAUUAAACUGGCGAACGGGUGAGUAACGCGUAGGCAACCUGCCCUAUAGAUUGGGAUAACAUCGGGAAACUGAUGCUAAUACCGGAUGAUGCAACACUUUCUUCGGAAAGAGUUGUUAAAGCGGGCUUCGGCUCGCGCUUUAGGAUGGGCCUGCGUCCGAUUAGCUUGUUGGUAAGGUAACGGCUUACCAAGGCAAUGAUCGGUAGCUGGUCUGAGAGGAUGAUCAGCCACACUGGGAUUGAGAUACGGCCCAGACUCCUACGGGAGGCAGCAGUAGGGAAUUUUGCGCAAUGGGGGAAACCCUGACGCAGCAACGCCGCGUGACCGAUGAAGCAUCUAGGUGCGUAAAGGUCUGUCGUAAGGGAAGAAAAAUUUGGAUGUAAAUAAUGUUCAAAUCUGACGGUACCUUACAAGAAAGCACCGGCUAACUUCGUGCCAGCAGCCGCGGUAAUACGAGGGGUGCAAGCGUUGUCCGGAAUCACUGGUCGUAAAGGGUCCGUAGGCGUUUCAAUAAGUCAUAUGUUAAAGGCACCGGCUUAACCGGUGGCCUGCAUUUGAAACUGUUGAAAUAGAGUAUAGGAGAGGAAAGUGGAAUUCCUGGUGUAGCGGUGACAUGCGUAGAUAUCAGAGGAACAUCAAUGGCGAAGGCAGCUUUCUGGCCUAUUACUGACGCUGAGGGACGAAAGCGUGGGGAGCGAA